AACCUGUCCUGCCAACCAGAGCCCUAGACCUAGUUGGCCUGCAAAAUACACAAGGCCAAGAAGAACAGGCCAUCAUCAAGUUCUGGGCCCCCAGGCCCCAACGCCGAACCCCGUACCAGUGGCCGAUCACAGCCCCAUCCUCAGCAGCGGGGACACUGUUGGGAUGCUUGCGAUGCACCGGGCCAGCUCCUCCCACUUGAUGGGAAGGGGAGCAUUGUAAGCUGAUUCCUGGGGUCCCCUGAGGCCCAAGAGAGAAGGGAUGACCCCAUCCCAGCUCCCUGACAUCUCUACCUCAGCACCUACUCACCCAUUGGGGAGGGUCAGUGGUUAUUUGUUGUAAAUAAUAAAUGACAUAUUUGAAUAUUAUAUUAAAGUCCUGUUCCCUUUACAGCUUGG